CAUAACUGAAAACAAAUCUAAACAUGUACAAGUCAAUUGAUUCAUCUAAUACCAUAACUCCCAUAAAUUAACAUUCAGAUCACAUCAUCAGCAACCAAUUCACAAUUAUGGCCAACAUUCAACCAAUAGCAAGCCAAAGGUGAACUUACACAAGCUUUAGUCAGACUAAACUUGACAGUAUAGGACCUGACUUAAACAAAAUGGAAUAAAAUUGAGCACAUAAGCGUAGAUCUAACACUACUGUCAGUAACAUAUUGAAAUCAUAAUAAAACCACAUUUAGUUAUCCACAAUAAUUUAAAAAAUUGUUUACAGCCCAUCCUUGAUAAUUACAUAAGAAUCAUGGAUUGAAAAGAAAAUAAGAACGGAGUAUUUUGCAAUAUGGCAUCAAACUUCACUUCAUUCAAACUUGUAGUUCGAGUUAUACGUCAAGUAUGUCCAUGGAGUUUUGGAUAAUACCUGGUACAAAAAAUAAACAAGGAAAAUCUGAGGUUAAAAGGGAACGAACAGUAGUAACCCAGCAGCAGCAAUUCCAACAGUUAAAACCCAAGAAGUUGACUCAAGACCCAAUGAAUGAGGCAAUAAAUUAAAACAAAAAUUGUCUCCCAAAACAGAUCUCGAAAUACGAACCAUACACGAACCAAAACACUUAGACACCCUCUGAUUCAAACCAUUUUCACCCUCAAUUGCUCAAAACUAACUCAAAAUUAAUACUAAGAAUUCCUAAAGAUUUCCCAAUAUAACAAUGAUUUUUCUAUGUAUUUUAGUUGUCUGAUUUUUGUAUAUUUUUUUCUCUGACUUUCAGAAUAUCCUAAAAGCUGCGUUUUAAGGCAAGAAAACAUGCCUUUAUAGGAAAGGCAAAUAGGACAUCCUUAGGUUGUCAUUUUUACACCUUGCCCCUUUUUGAAUUUUCGUUUUUGCUUACCGAACCUUAGUUAAAAAUCAGAAGCUUAGAGAAUGCCCCAACCCUAGCUUCCUAGAAGCUUCCUUUUCAGUUACUGAAAGAUUCCCCUUCCUAUAUUCCCUAAAUUAACCCCCAAGCCCUCUGUUUUUACCUCCUAAAACAGGACAGAUAUGAAUCAUGAGCCAAAUUGACCCAAUGGUUUAAACCAAAACGAAUGGGAGGCCCCUUGCAAAUGGGUCAGACACGACCCAAAGCCCAAACUAAGGUCCGUAUUCUGAAGAAAGUGGGAGAAAAAGGAAAAUCCAAUCAAAUGAUUUCAAGACUAAACUUAACAAUAUGAAUAAUUACCAAACACAAAGAGCGUGAAACUAACUAAAUUAUUAGAUAUAAAUAAACCUAACUAGACUAUGAGGAUAAAGGGAGGGAAAGUCAGGAACUUAAAGCCUAAAUUAAACAAAACGGAUACACCAAAUCAGGGCAUAACUUGUAGAAUUUUGAAAUCAAAUAAAUGUAGAAGAAGAGAAGAAGAACAAAAGAUAACCAUGGACAGAAAAGAAAGAAAACUCACCAAGCAACACUCGAAGCCAACACUAGAAUCCUUGAUUUAACGAAACUGAUGCUAUUCAUUUGUUCUUUGUCAAGAGCAAGUGAAAAACAUCGAUUUUGUGUUAAAUCAAGCUUUCGAAACAUGAAAAGUAAAGGCCCAGGCCAGUGCACGCCAAAGCAUCGAGGCUAAGGCGAUUUGGGAUUUUAGGGUUUCGAAUUGGAUUUAAAAUUCGAGAAGCUUUGUGAGGAUUUGAGGGAAACCAAUCGUAGAUUAGGGAAUAGGGAGCCAUGGGGGUUCUAUGGUGUAUAUUUGGUAAGGUUUGAGAAUGGUGCCGCCAGCUCAGGGCGGAAGAGAAUAUGGGCGGCGGGCUAGGGUUCAUCUGAGAUAAAGCAAAAGACUAAGUGAACUGAUGGGGUCUUAUGUUGUCUCUAGGGUAUUAGGACACUUAUAAACAAUAUGGGGGAGGUGAUUUGAAC
rnacentral:lncRNA from 1 species